AAUCAAUUAACUAUAAAAUCAUCCAUAACAUUGAAUAUUCAUGACUAGGGCUUCAUCCUAAGCCCUAACUAAAUGGAUUAGUUAGACAUAACUAUGAAUACAUAAAAUAAGAAAUACAUAGAUAAGAUAAAGAGAGGAGAAGAACUAGAUGAUGGCAGCAAGGAAGUUCCCAAGACAGCUCCAAGCUCCCUUCUCUCUUUGUGGUGAAUCUGAAAGUGUGUAUG
rnacentral:lncRNA from 1 species